CGUAUUUCAGCCCACUUGGAUCACGGAACAACCUUUCCGUAUGCAAGACACUCCCUCUUCCCAAUUAAAAGUACAGGUAGGUGUGGAUACGGAACGGAAAAAGUGAUCCAAGCAUAGAUACUACAUACACACAUGGAUAUGAAACAGGAAGUCGGUAUCCAAUUAACUCUUUGAAGUUCACCUGUAAACGUCAUAACCAGCAUAGCUCUAUCCUUGGCGCUUUUCUCUCUGUCUAUGUUUUCAAGAAUUUUCUUGACUCACUUAUUUUUGUGAAAGAAGGCCUCAUGUUUACAUGACAAAAUUAGAAGACCUCCAUUUUUAUUUGUAACCACCUUUUCUAGACUCGGCGAACGGAGUUAGCUAGUAAGUCUUGGAAUCAUAAUAGUGUAUUGUUUGUUACAUGGACUGAAACUAUUCUCGUGUCAAUGUAAUGAGAAAUGACUGAGAUAAUAGCCAAAAACUAGUUUUUUUAAUAUUAAUUUUGUAACCACCUUUUUGAGACUUCUGCACCAGGUAUGAACAAGUUACUACUUUGAGUGUAUUCAUUAAGGUCUCUUAUAUAGACUGUUUAUGGUUUCAUUUUUCUAGAUGCUAUGUUUCAAAAUGAGAACUGAGUAGUGAAAGAAUAGGUUAUUUACCAAGGAACACAAGCAGGAUGUCAGUGGCAUUGAUGAGACAUUGUUACAUGAUUGUAAAGCUUCAUAUUUAUGCUACCACAGAGGAGUACUAUCAAGAUAGAGAUGAUGUACAUUACAGUAUGUAC